rnacentral:rRNA from 1 species
AACGAACGCUGGCGGCAUGCCUAACACAUGCAAGUCGAACGAGACCUUCGGGUCUAGUGGCGCACGGGUGCGUAACGCGUGGGAACCUGCCUUUAGGUUCGGAAUAACUCAGAGAAAUUUGAGCUAAUACCGGAUAAUGUCUUCGGACCAAAGAUUUAUCGCCUUUAGAUGGGCCCGCGUAAGAUUAGCUAGUUGGUGGGGUAAAGGCCUACCAAGGCGACGAUCUUUAGCUGGUCUGAGAGGAUGAUCAGCCACACUGGGACUGAGACACGGCCCAGACUCCUACGGAGGCAGCAGUGGGGAAUCUUAGACAAUGGGCGCAAGCCUGAUCUAGCCAUGCCGCGUGAGCGAUGAAGGCCUUAGGGUUGUAAAGCUCUUUCAGUGGGGGAAGAUAAUGACUGUACCCACAGAAGGAAGCCCCCGGCUAACCUCCGUGCCAGCAGCCGCGGUAAU